CAUUUCCCAGCAGACCUUGCUCCUGGGCAGGCCGGCCGCCUGACAAGUCUGGGAGUUCUAGAUCCCAACACCUAGAGAACCCAGCUUCAUUCCUUCUGCCCUUUCCCGAGUAUGAAUCUCUGCCCUUCUUCUUCCUCCGCCCCAGGCCCCACUUUCCAUCCCCAGGAUUCUCCUGCGGACUCCCCCUACUCCUCCGUAAGUGAGCGAGGGUCUCGGGGAUCCUGGGAUAGCGCUACACCUCCCAGCUACACCCUGCAGGAGGGAGAAUCGCCGGAGCAGGCGCGUGGCCUUCACCCCACCAACCUCGAUGUCCAGAUAGAUUCGCUUACCAGCAUGUUGGCUGACAUGGAGGGCACCCAGCAACGCCGGAGCGAACGAGCCGUGAGGAAGCUGAGGGAUGGGAGGACGAGAUGGGGAUGGGGGGGCGGUGCCUGGGGGGGGGUGUUGUGUCCCCCCCCCCAAAAAAAUUCUUUACUUGGGACCCUGAUUGUUUUACCCGUUUUUUUGCAGAACACGGAAUCUGCACCGUAUCCACCUCUGCAGCCUGGUACUCCCAAACCCAGCCCGGCUUCGGCUACUUACAAGCCCACCCUCUCGGGCGGCUUUGUGGCCCCCAAGCCGGAUGCCAAGACCCUGCCUUACGGAGGCCCACCAGGCUCUGGAUCCCCUUACCCAGCCACCCCAGUGCUUCCCUGCCAGUACGGCUCACCCGGCUUGGGGGAUGUCUACGGAUACCACCGUGCCCCGUUGGCACCCAAGCCGUACCCCCAGCCAAUGCCCGCCUCAUACGCCACGGCGUCCUCCUCAGCUGGGCCCCCCUUCAAUGUCCAGGUGAAGGUGGCCAAACCGGUGCUGGGCUACAACCAGCCCAGGCGCAGGGCCGAGCCGGCGUAUGGGCCCCCGUCCCCGCAACUAGGAUAUGGAGGGAAACCUCCCCCGCAAUAUGCCACCGAACCGGGGUCCCGUCCGCGCCCCCAUGAGGCCGAGCCUUGGUACCCAGAGCCUCCCUCCUAUGGCCAGCAACUGGGCGAGGGGGAAUUCUAUGCCGGCCCUGCAGGGCAGGGAAGGUUGGCACCGGCGGGGCAGUUCCAGUCUGGAUUGGUGAAAGCUGGGAAGGACGAGUUGACGGUGCCUCCGGUUCCUGCUGGCAUUGGGGGGCUGAGGUUCCCCCAUCAGGUAAUUCUAGCUGCUGGGGAUAAUGGGGAAGGGGAAGGCUGGGUAGGGGUCUUUCUGGGGAAGGGGGCUUCCAUCCAGGAAUGGAAUGCAGGAGGGAAAGAAUGAAUGCUAGAGAAAUUCAGCUUGUGUAUGAGAAUGAGGCUGAGGACAACUCCUCCUCAACAGUUCCCAGAGUCUAUGUUUUGUGCGGCAAGUCAAGGUAGUUCUUGACAUACUGAGCCCAACAUUUCCAUUGUCAAGCAAGAUGCUUGUUAAAUGAGUUUUGCCCCUUUGACAACCUUCCUCGCUGCCGUUCUUAUGUGGAUCCCUGCUGUUGUUAAGUGAGUCGCUCGGUUGUUAAGCAAAUCUGGCUUCCCCAUUGGCUUGGCUCAUUGGAAGCUUGGAAAAGGGGGAUCCCGCGACCCCCGGAAGCCCAACCUGUCGUAAAUACAAGUCCGUUGCCAAGCGCCUGAAUGUUGAUCACAUGCCCAUGGGAUGCUGCCAUGGUCGUAAGUGCGAAAAACAGUCAUAAGUCACUGUUUUGGGGGGGGCAUUGUAAUUUUGAGUGGUUACUAAACGGUUGGAAGUUACCUGUAUAGGAGGCCCAGUGGCUUAAAUUCCUGAGGAAUUUGUUGGUGGCAAACCGGAUUGCACUUGGCCCAUGCUCAGGAGCCGUGCCUGCAUCCUCAUUUAACCCGGGGCGUGUUGGGGGGGGGGGAUGUUUCAUGCUUCUCAGUUGCCCAGCUUAGUGACCGCCAUUCUCCCAGUCUCCCCUCUCUUUCCCGCAGCUUCCCUUGUGCCGCCCAGAAGAGGAGCUGGACCGUCUGACCAAGAAAUUGAUGUACGACCUGAACAAUCCUCCCACCGCGGAAUAUUUUGGUGGGUUUCUCGGAGCCUUUAAAAAUUUAGCGAUUGAAAACCAAAAAAAACCCCCCAAAGUUCGUCUUUUUUUUAACGGAGCCUCUAGGUGCAAGAGCAGUCUAUCUCGAAAUGCUAUCGCUGGACGGAAUAGCCACGCGGGAAGCUCCCCUUGGCUUGUUUUCAGGGGAAACUUGGAUCUUUUCGACUCAAC
ensembl:lncRNA